AGAGACUAUGAGGGUUCACUAUCUGUUUGCUGGAAGAUAUACAAGACUUUUGAGGAUAAUACUUAAAUGAAGAUAGACCGGAUGUAUAAUAUGCUUUUUCUUAGCUUUCCUAUGACUCUACUUAGCAACUUUUGCUAAAAGAAACACAAUAUAUGACUGACUACUUUGAAGACACAUAUAUUGGACACUUAAAAUCAACAAAAGCAGAGAGGUCCCAAACGUGGUAUCUUUUCACAAUGAUGUAUUUUAUCCGAAUUCUUGGAAUUACUCAUGGUGUCUUUCAAAAUUAAAGAUCUGUGAAACCUGAAGCAGAUAUGAAUAUUAGCCAGAUUAUUUCCUACUGGGGCUACCCUGAUGAAGAAUAUGAUAUUGUAACCGAAGAUGGUUAUAUCCUUGGCCUUUAUAGAAUUCCUUAUUGGAGGACAGACAAUAAUAAAAAUCUAGGUUGUGCAUAUACUUCUUAAAGUUGUAGAUAAGCUUCUAGACCUGUAAGUAAAACAAAAACUGUGAGACAAACAUAGUACAGCAGAAUGCCCUGGAAUCUUACAUGCUGCUUUGAUCCCCCAUGGAGUCUUCUCUAGUCACAAAGAAUUGAUUGUAAAGACAAGGUUUCAUAACAUUUUCUACUAUAUCAAAGAUAGCUGAAAGAAUCAAAAUAUUUUUUGCUUUAGCACCAGUUUUUUCCACAAAGUACUUAAAAAGUCCUUUAAUUAGAAUGACAUACAAAUGGAAGUCAAUAGUCAUGAGUCGUUUGGAUGUGUAUUUUUCACACAACCCAGCAGGAACAUCUGUUCAAAAUAUGCUUCAUUGGAGUCAGCUUUUAAAUUCUACUCAUUUGAAAGCUUAUGACUGGGGCAGUCCUGAUCUGAACUUGGUUCAUUAUAAUCAGACAACGUCUCCAUUAUACAACAUGACAAACAUGAAUGUGGCAACUGCAAUUUGGAAUGGUAAAAGUGACUUGUUGGCUGACCCUGAAGACGUUAACAUUUUACAUUCUGAAAUCACAAACCACAUUUAUUAUAAAACUAUUUCUUACUAC
rnacentral:lncRNA from 1 species